UGGGAUGUAGCCAAGUGGUAAGGCAUCGGUUUUUGAUACCGACACGCGAAGGUUCGAAUCCUUCCAUCCCAGCCA
rnacentral:tRNA from 1 species